rnacentral:rRNA from 1 species
UAAGCAUAUCAAUAAGCGGAGGAAAAGAAACUAACAAGGAUUCCCCUAGUAACUGCGAGUGAAGCGGGAAAAGCUCAAAUUUAGAAUCUGGCGGUCCUUGACUGUCCGAGUUGUAAUCUAGAGAAGUGUUACCUGUGCUGGACCAUGUAAAAGUCUCCUGGAAUGGAGCAUCAUAGAGGGUGAGAAUCCCGUCUUUGACAUGGACUACCUGUACAUUAUGGUGUGCUCUCGAAGAGUCGAGUUGUUUGGGAAUGCAGCUCAAAAUGGGUGGUAAAUGCCAUCUAAAGCUAAAUAUUGGCGAGAGACCGAUAGCGAACAAGUACCGUGAGGGAAAGAUGAAAAGAACUUUGGAAAGAGAGUUAAACAGUACGUGAAAUUGCUGAAAGGGAAACGCUUGAAGUCAGUCACAUUGUCUGGAAAUCAACCUGCUUUUGCUUGGUGUACUUUCUGGUCGAUGAGUCAGCAUCAAUUUUGACCAUUGGAUAAAGUCUCUGGGAAUGUGGCAUCUUUGGAUGUGUUAUAGCCCUAAGUCGCAUACAGUGGUUGGGAUUGAGGAACUCAGCAUGCCGCAAGGCCGGGUUUUAUACCACGUUCGUGCUUAGGAUGCUGGCAUAAUGGCUUUAAUCGACCCGUCUUGAAACACGGACCAAGGAGUCUAACAUGCCUGCGAGUGUUUGGGUGGAAAACCCAUACGCAUAAUGAAAGUGAAAGUUGAGAUCCCUCUAGGGAGCAUUGACGCCCGGACCAGACCUUCUGUGACGGAUCCGCGGUAGAGCAUGUAUGUUGGGACCCGAAAGAUGGUGAACUAUGCCUGAAUAGGGUGAAGCCAGAGGAAACUCUGGUGGAGGCUCGUAGCGAUUCUGACGUGCAAAUCGAUCGUCAAAUUUGGGUAUAGGGGCGAAAGACUAAUCGAACCAUCUAGUAGCUGGUUCCUGC